rnacentral:rRNA from 1 species
CGAGUCUCAUCCGGUAGAGCGAAUGAUUAGAGGUGAUGGGGUCGAAACGACUUCAACCUAUUCUCAAACUCCCAAUAGAUGAGAGCCCCGGCUUGCUUGAAAGUGAAGCCGCGGGACACGGAUCAGAGGUGCCAAGUGGGCCAAUUUUGGUAAGCAGAACUGGCGCUGUGGGAUGAACCAAACGCAGAGUUAAGGCGCCUGAUUCGACGCUCAUCC